AGAGUUUGAUCAUGGGCUCAGAUUGAACGCUGGCGGCAUGGCUAAAACAUGCAAGUCGCACGAUUAAAGCCCCUUCGGGGGUGUAUAAAGUGGCGUAAGGGCGAGGAAUACGUUCCUACGUACCCUCAGGUCGAGGAUAGCCCAGAGAAAUUUGGAGUAAUACUCGAUGUGGUCCUUCGGGAUCAAAGACUUCGGUCGCCAGAGGAGCGGGGAACGCCCUAUCAGGUUGUUGGUGAGGUAACGGCUCACCAAGCCAAAGACGGGUAGCGGGUGUGAGAGCAUGACCCGCCGCAUCGGGACUGAGACACUGCCCGGACUCCUACGGGAGGCUGCAGUAACGAAUAUUCCGCAAUGCGCGAAAGCGUGACGGAGCAAUGCCGCGUGCAGGAUGAAGCCUCUCGGGGUGUAAACUGCUGUCAGGGUUUAGGAACACAAUGACCAUACCCAAAGGAAGGGCCGGCUAACUUCGUGCCAGCAGCCGCGGUAAUACGAAGGGCCCGAGCGUUAAUCAGAAUCACUGGGCUUAAAGCGUACGUAGGCUGACNCGCAGGCNCUUUGNGAAAUCCCUCGGCUCAACCGAGGAAUUGC
rnacentral:rRNA from 1 species